AGGUCAAGUGAAGAAGGGCGCACGGUGAAUGCCUUGGCACUGGAAGCCGAUGAAGGACGCGACUAACCGCGAAAGUCUUCGGGGAGCCGUAAGUAGGCUUUGAUCCGGAGGUCUCCGAAUGGGGGAACCCAGCAUGUGCAGACAUGCUAUCCUUAAGUGAAUACAUAGCUUAAGGAGGGAACACGCAGUGAACUGAAACAUCUAAGUAGCUGCAGGAAGAGAAAGAAAUAUCGAUUUCCCAAGUAGCGGCGAGCGAACAGGAAAGAGCCCAAACCGGCAGAUUUAUCUGCCGGGGUUGUAGGACUGAGACAUGGCACUUCAGAGGAUAGCAGAAGCGUUUGGGAAAGCGCGCCAGAGAGGGUGAGAGCCCCGUAAGCGAAAUCCAAAGAAGGCCUAUCAGUAUCCUGAGUAGGGCGGGACACGUGAAAUCCCGUUUGAAUCCGCGAGGACCAUCUCGCAAGGCUAAAUACU
rnacentral:rRNA from 1 species